UGGCGCAGGAGAACGGGCCGUCCCUCGGCCUC
rnacentral:sRNA from 1 species